AUUGAACGCUGGCGGCAGGCCUAACACAUGCAAGUCGAGCGAGCGGCGGACGGGUGAGUAAUGUCUGGGAAACUGCAUGAUGGAGGGGGAUAACUACUGGAAACGGUAGCUAAUACCGCAUACCAUCUGAUGUGCCCAGAUGGGAUUAGCUAGUAGGUGGGGUAACGGCUCACCUAGGCGCCGCUCCCUAGCUGGUCGGAGAGGAUGACCAGCCACUGUGGACAGGAGCCACGGUCCAGACUCCAACGGGAGGCAGCAGUGGGGAAUAUUGAACAAUGGGCGCAAGCCUGAUGAAGCCAUGCCGCGUGUGUGAAUAAGGCCUGCGGGUUGUAAAGCACUUCCAGCGGGGAGGCGUUACCCGCAGAAGAAGCACCGGCUAACUCCGUGCCAGCAGCCGCGGUAAUAC
rnacentral:rRNA from 1 species